rnacentral:misc_RNA from 1 species
GAUGAAGAACGCAGCGAAAUGCGAUAAGUAAUGUGAAUUGCAGAAUUCAGUGAAUCAUCGAAUCUUUGAACGCACAUUGCGCCCGCCAGUAUUCUGGCGGGCAUGCCUGUCCGAGCGUCAUUUCAACCCUCGAACCCCUCCGGGGGGUCGGCGUUGGGGAUCGGCCCCUCACCGGGCCGCCCCCGAAAUCCAGUGGCGGUCUCGCCGCAGCCUCUCCUGCGCAGUAGUUUGCACACUCGCACCGGGAGCGCGGCGCGGCCACAGCCGUAAAACACCACAAACUCUGAAAUGUUGACCUCGGAUCAGGUAGGAAUACCCGCUGAACUUAAGCAUAUCAAUAAGCGGAGGA